rnacentral:snRNA from 1 species
AGACUUACCUGGCAGGAGAGACACCACGAUCAAGAAGGUGGUUCACCCAGGGUAAGGUUCGGCCAUUGCACUCUAGGCUGCGCUGACCUCUUAAUUCUCCAAAUGUUGGAAUCUCGACUGCGCAAUUUGUGGGGCAUUGCGUUAGCACUAUA